rnacentral:rRNA from 1 species
UACAGAGGUCUCAAGCGUUGUUCGGAUUCAUUGGGCGUAAAGGGUGUGUAGGUGGCGCGCUAAGUCGGGUGUGAAAUUUCGGAGCUUAACUCCGAAACUGCAUUCGAUACUGGCGUGCUCGAGGACUGGAGAGGAGACUGGAAUUCAUGGUGUAGCAGUGAAAUGCGUAGAGAUCAUGAGGAAGACCAGUGGCGAAGGCGGGGUCUCUGGACAGUUCCUGACACUGAGACACGAAGGCCAGGGGAGCAAACGGG